GCAAACUUGGUCAUUUAGAGGAAGUAAAAGUCGUAACAAGGUUUCCGUAGGUGAACCUGCGGAAGGAUCAUUAUUGAAAAUUUUGGGAAAGUUCUGUUGCUGGCCUUAAUAUUGGGCAUGUGCACGUUCUUUUCUAAUCUAUUCAUCCACCUGUGCACUUUUUGUAGAGGUUCUUUUUGGGUUUGACUUUUCGGAGUCGACUUAGAUUGGGCUUCUAUGUUUAUAACAAACUAAUAUUCGCAUGUUUAGAAUGUUCUUUUAUUGGGACUUAAGUGGCCCUUUAAAAUGUGUACAACUUUCAGCAACGGAUCUCUUGGCUCUCCCAUCGAUGAAGAACGCAGC
rnacentral:misc_RNA from 1 species